GUUACAUUAGCCAAGCCCUUGAGAGGGGCCUCAGUCUUUCUCUGCCGUCUCUGGAGCUCAGGAAGUUUCAUUUCAAGUGCGCAUUAGAGCCUCACUAAUGAGCCACGAUACCGGUGCCAGAUGAAUUCUCUCGCUGCAAUGACUCAUGCCACGGCGGCCCUGCAGGGCUGCCCGGCUCCUGGGCUGCAGGAGGCAUUGUCUGGGGGAGAGCAGUUCCUAAGUGCCCUGCAGAGCUACUUCAGCAGCAGAGGGAUCCACAAAGAGAAAACUGCGCCAGCCUUCGUGCUGUCCACGAGGAAUCGCAACCUGGGGGACCAGGGAGAAUGAGAGCUGGUGGCCCCCAAGAGGGGGGUAGAUGACUAGGAAGAGCUGAUGGCAGGUGGAGUCUUGGCAAUACGAUCUCUUCGGCCUCUGAGUACUUCACAGUGAUGCACUGACUCUCUCCUGCCGCUGCGCUGCUGUGCACACCAACACACGCACACCAACACAUGAGUGACCUUUUUAUAUUUGCUGGGCUCUGCCUGCAAUACUGCGCUCUAGGUUUUGGAUUCAAUAAA